UCGCGAAGAACCUUACCAAGGCUUGACAUAUGCCGGAAACGGCCAGAGAUGGUCGCCCCGCAAGGUCGGUAUACAGGUGGUGCAUGGUUGUCGUCAGCUCGUGUCGUGAGAUGUUGGGUUAAGUCCCGCAACGAGCGCAACCCUCGUUCUAUGUUGCCAGCACGUUAUGGUGGGAACUCAUAGGAGACUGCCGGGGUCAACUCGGAGGAAGGUGGGGAUGACGUCAAAUCAUCAUGCCCCUUAUGUCUUGGGCUUCACGCAUGCUACAAUGGCCGGUACAAAGGGCUGCGAUACCGUAAGGUGGAGCGAAUCCCAAAAAGCCGGUCUCAGUUCGGAUUGAGGUCUGCAACUCGACCUCAUGAAGUCGGAGUCGCUAGUAAU
rnacentral:rRNA from 1 species